UACGUAGGAUGCAAGCGUUGUCCGGAAUUAUUGGGCGUAAAGAGUUCGUAGGUGGUUAUCUAAGUCUGGUGUUAAAGACGGGAGCUCAACUCCCGCAUGGCAUCGGAAACUGGAUGGCUAGAGUGUGGAAGAGGUAACUGGAAUUCCUGGUGUAGCGGUGAAGUGCGCAGAUAUCAGGAGGAACACCCGUGGCGAAAGCGAGUUACUGGUCCAUUACUGACACUGAGGAACGAAAGCCAGGGUAGCAAAAGGG
rnacentral:rRNA from 1 species